AGCCUUCACGGGCGGCGGAUGACUACGUCUACCUCACACCUUAAAGUAUGUUAACGAAUGUAAUCAUGGUCUUGACAGACCCUAAAAAGUUAAUACAACUUUCGACAACGGAUCUCUUGGCUCUCGCAUCGAUGAAGAACGCUCUCUAAAUGCGAUAAGUAAUGUGAAUUGCAGAAUUCAGUGAAUCAUCGAAUCUUUGAACGCACCUUGCGCCCUUUGGUAUUCCGAGGGGCAUGCCUGUUUGAGUGUCAUUAAAUACCAUCAACCCUCUUUUGACUUCGGUCUCGAGAGUGGCUUGGAAGUGGAGGUCUGCUGGAGCCUAACGGAGCCAGCUCCUCUUAAAUGUAUUAGCGGAUUUCCCUUGCGGGAUCGCGUCUCCGAUGUGAUAAUUUCUACGUCGUUGACCAUCUCGGGGCUGACCUAGUCAGUUUCAAUAGGAGUCUGCUUCCAACCGUCUCUUGACCGAGACUAGCGACUUGUGCGCUAACUUUUGACUUGACCUCAAAUCAGGUAGGACUACCCGCUGAACUUAAGCAUAUCA
rnacentral:rRNA from 1 species